rnacentral:misc_RNA from 1 species
AACGCACAUUGCGCCCGCCGGUAUUCCGGCGGGCAUGCCUGUUCGAGCGUCAUUUCAACCCUUAGGCCCGGCCUAGUGUUGGAGCACCACGGUUGUGGGCUCUCAAAUUUAGCGGCAGGUACAGCCCGGACCCGAGCGUAGUAAUAUACGUCGCUCAGGGCGCUGGGAGGCACCUCUGCCGUUAAACACCAUUUUACAAGGUUGACCUCGGAUCAGGUAGGAAUACCCGCUGAACUUAA